GAUGAACGCUGGCGGCGUGCCUAAUACAUGCAAGUCGAGCGAAGCGGGAACGGGUGAGUAACACGUAGAUAACCUCCUAUAAGACGGGGAUAACUUCGGGAAACCGGAGCUAAACCGGAUACUUAUGGUUGACUCCGGGAGGCAUUGGCUAGUUGUUAAGGUAACGGCUUACCAAGGCAACGAUGAAUAGCCGACCUGAGAGGGUGAUCGGCCACACUGGAACUGAGACACGGUCAAGACUCCUACGGGGGGCAGCAGUAGGGAAUCUUCCGCAAUGGGCGAAAGCCUGACGGAGCAACGCCGCGUGAGUGAUGAAGGUCUUCGGAUCGUAAAACUCUGUUAUUAGGGAAGCGGUACCUAAUCAGAAAGCCACGGCUAACUACGUGCCAGCAGCCGCGGUAAUAC
rnacentral:rRNA from 1 species